GGUCAUAUAUUUUUCGAUUUUGUUAUGAAAAACAUUGUAACGACCCGAAUCUGAUAAGACUCGAUGUCUUUGUGCUCACUGUGCUAGUCCCUGGAUCGACUCUCUAGCACACACAGUACAUAUGAAUAUCAAAUAAUAAGUGCAUCAUUUACUAUAACGUAUGAUCCAAAAUUUAUAAAAUAUUACAAUCUGAGUAGCACAUAGCUAACUUAUUCAAUAAUAACAACGAAAAGGUAGCAUAAUCAACAAUGAGUCCAUCAAUGCCCACCGGAGAACAUGUUGAGUGAAGACUCGCGACCCUACUGUAUCUCACUGAUCAUCUAAAAAUCCUGCAACAUGAUAAGUUGCAGCCACAAAGGGUCAAUACAUUGAAUGUAUUGGAAAAUCACACAAUAUGAUAUAGCAAACCUACAUCCACAAAGCAAUGUAUGACAAACAAGACACACAAGUUAGUUUGGAGAACAAUGUCUUCACCUACCUCCACUACCUGAACUCACAACUGACUCUAAUUUACUCGCCCAAGAUAACCCAAAGAUUCUAAAUAAACAUGACAAAAACUUCAGAAGUAUGUCUCAAGUGCGCUCUGUCAGUGGCGCAUUCUCUAGGAACAAUAGAGCGCUCUACCAAGGACGCAUUCACCUGAUUUAUCUCCCAAAAACUAUACCUCGCCUCAAGUGCGCUCUGUCAAUGGCGCAUUCUCUAGGGACAAUAGAGCGCUCUGCCAACAACGCAUUCACCUGGUUAAUAAUCCCGAACUUACGGCUAUAAACACUCACCACUUUCAUGGAUCACUCGGCACAUGCCCACGUCUACCAUAGCAAGUUGAUCACACCAUCACAUACCACAAUCGACAACAAAACAUGGUAACACGGGAUACACAUACCAGGCCAAACAUAUAUCAUAGCAUAAAACCACACAUGCAUAGUAUAGGAUGAGCAAAAUCAAAAGUGCAAACUUGCCUUGAACGGUGCUGAAGUACUCUAACGAUUAAUUCCGAUCUGCUUCACACUCCGGACAAUCUAUAUGAUUAACGGAGGCAACGAUAAAUAAACUAUGCUCACAUAACACUAAAAUAAAGUAAACAACAAUGAAUUCAAAUAAAAACUUAAAUAACAAAAAAUAUCAGUAGGUAUAUAUUAUCUACAUGCUAGUAGGAUCACAAUGCAAAAAGAAUCAACUAAUUUGGAUCAACGGUUUAAAAGAUAUGGCCUCCGGAAGUUUGAAUUCAAAUUUAAACAAUAAAUUUGAAUAGUUCAAAAAAAUGUGAAACUUUGGUUCUUCAAUAUUCUCCUGGUCACUACGAGUACACAGGAAAAAGAAUCGAUGAAUUUGGAGUUACGGAUCUCAAGAUAAACCUAAAUGAAAAUUUGAUAUGGAAUCUGCAAAGAACAAUUAUGCCAUAAAAGCGUUCUGGGAAGAACUGCUACGGCACUGUGGAUGUGCCACAUGGCGGAUGCUGAUUGGCUGGAGGUUGUUUGCUGCAGUGGCUAAAGAGCAGACAGCCACUAAACAGCACAUAACUAUUCGAGAGAGAGAAAAAUAGAACAUGAUUUAAUCUGGACCAUUAGAGAGAGAUCGGGCGGCUAAGGGUAGCUCACCGGAGAGGAACAGAGUAGGCCGGC
rnacentral:lncRNA from 1 species